CUUACAAUAUUUAUAUAUAAAAAAAAAAAAUACUCUUAUAAAGACUGCACAAUUACAACUCCAAUAGGAACAUACAGAAAAACAAUCACAUUGACUGGGCAAUCCCCGCCCAAAAAAAAAAACCAAAAAAAGAAUAUGCCAAAUGGCAGUGGGUGAAAGGGCACCCAAUCAGAAAAAGAGGGAGGAAUGUGAGGUGACCAAUGAGAAAGAGAAGUAAGGAGGGAAAAGGAGGAGAAAAAAACCACCCAACCCAGACUUUUUUUUGACACGCAACCCGACCCGGCGGGUUCCCUGUUUUCCGACGCUUUCUCUGGCCAAUUUCGGGCGAAUUGCACCGGGCCACUUCCUGGAAAUCCCUCCUCGACCUCUCCUCUUCCAUUUACAUAAAAAAAAACCCCAGUCAAAUUGACCCCGAUUUAAUGAAGAACGGAAGUCGCCGAUUCCGUGGGUGUUCCGACGGAGAACCGUCGAUUCUGCAAAUUCCGACAACCACCACCAAACCACUCCUCUCGAGGCCAGGAACAAAUCCCAAACAAGUUUGGUGGCGGUGGAGCACCAGAGAAGACGAAUUGAUGUGCACCCAUUUCUAGGGUUUUCGGCGGAUCGAGGCAUUUUCAGGCCACUUCCCCGCCGAAUUGGAUUUCGGCCCAGGUGGUAUCAAGGCCUCAAUCACGGGACUAUAUUCCUCGGGAAUUAGUAUCAGUAGGUAUGGAAAAAAGACCAGGGUUUCUCUGAAAACUUUUCCUGCAGCCCCUGCUUAUCCUUGGACAAGCUCUCAAUUUCUUGUUCCAUCAUUAUUCAUUUGGCACCUUUUCCCCAUUUUCUGGUACGCAGCAUGCAGCUGUUCCAUUUUCUCACCAGACUUUUCUUGCAUUGCUUCAAAUUUCUGCCGAUACUGAGCUUGUAUUCUGUUCAUCUUGUACUGCAUUUCCAAUUCCCUUUGGCCAAUGUAGAACAUGACACUUUUGUGUGCACUCUUCA